rnacentral:misc_RNA from 1 species
AAAGUCGUAACAAGGUUUCCGUAGGUGAACCUGCGGAAGGAUCAUUACAAAUCUUCUUGGAUCCCCGUCUAUUAUAUGGGUUGCUCUCAAGAGCGCACAUAAUAUAAGACUGUGGUGUUAUCCACAUUUACGCUUGUUGUGUUUGACAGAGUAAUUUUUGGUUGGAAAGGAAAGACAACUUUUAACAAUGGAUCUCUUGGCUCUU